AUGAACCUUAUAAAUUAUAAAUUGAUACUCAUAUUCUACUAUGUACAUAAAAAGAGAUAAUAUGGUUGAAAUUGUCAAAUUUGUGUAUGCUUUAAUUAUCUUUGUUUUUCCAUUUUUCUUUGCAAUCAACGUUGAUGGUAUUAGAUGUAUUCAAGAUUGUGAUUGUCCACAUAAUUUUUGCCCUCCUUCUUAUACACCGAUGUGUAUUAUCGGCCGAUGUAAUUGUGUUUCAAAAACAAUGAAUUCUUAUGAUUGAAAAGUUUUUCAUAUGACCUCCUUACCAAGUGCUUACCAAGUGUGUUGAAUGAAAAAAUAUAACACAUUGAUGUAACUAAAUUUUAAUUUAAUAAUUGUUCCUGUUUUAGGAAAUUAUUUUUGCUA